rfam:Myotis davidii contig121683, whole genome shotgun sequence.
GGCGGUUCUCAGGUGAUGCACCCUGGAAUCAGGCUCCCUCCUCUCUGGUUCCGGGUGAGUUACCCGAGAACUACU